AAAAAAUCCAUGAAAUGAUCAUUGUUGACGGGGCUGCAAUUUGAGCGGUUUUAUCUCAAAACAGUGGAUUUUAGAUCUUCAAUUUGCAUCUGUGGUUUUAUACCCAGGAAUUAAAUUGUUCAUCGCUGUCAAAUCGUCUCUGAUUUAGAUUAUCGGGAUAGUUUUAUUGCUGUUUUGAUCUAGAAAUGGAAACGGCCGAUGCUGCGAACGGAUCGAAGAUUUCUGCCAAGCUCCAGACCCUCGGAAUUUUUCCCAGUGAUUUGUGCUUGACCUGUGAACAGCCGUGCUCGGAGGGUGAGUGGAAUUUCAGUAUCGAAGAUGGCGUGAAAAGAGGUAAAGGGGAGAAGAUUUUGCAGGAGAAGAAAUUUAGCAAAUUGGGGAAAGUUUCUUAUCGAAGGACAAGUAAGAGGGUUUCCUGCACUUAACAGUUGUGAAUUGGGAGGAAAUUUUCCUUUUUUGGAUAAUUUUUUUUUUUUUGAAAGAAGAGGUUCCUUCCCUUUGCUGUUUCAAAUGUUUUUGUGUUUGUGAUUGUGGGGGAUUCUUGUAUUUGGAGAUGAAGGCAUUUUCAUUUAUCCUUUGUCUCCAUUCGGAGGGUUGAUUAUUUGUUGUUAUCUGAUCUCUCUCUGUCCUCAUGAAAACUUUAUCUUGAGAGCUUGGAAUGAGCUCGAGGUCUCUUAUUCUUUCCCUGCAAUUGUACAUAUGAACAUGAAAUUUGUAUAUUGGCUCUACCAGAAUGUUGGUUGGAGUUCAAUUGGCUUGUAGCCCCAGACAACUUGUUUUUUUCCUGAUUUAGAUCAAAUGAAAUCAGAAUGGUAAACACUUUCUUUA